rnacentral:lncRNA from 1 species
CAUCCUCCCUAACCAUCACCAAACUCUCUCCUCCCUCGCUGACUCCGAACGUCCUGCUCUCUCCCUACUCUCCUCCCCUUCUGCCUACUCCGCCCUCUCUUCUUCCCUCUCCGGUUCCCACUCCGAUCCCCUCUGUCACUGGCUCUACGACACUUUCCUCUCCUCCGACCCUCACCUCCGCCUCGUUGUUCUCUCCUUCAUCCCUCUCCUCUCCGGUCUUUACCUAUCCCGUGUUCACUCCUCGGAUCCCCCUUCCCUCGCCGGUUUCGAAGCUGUUCUCCUCGCUCUCUAUGCCUCCGAAACCAAAUCGCGCGCUGGUAAACCUCUUCUUGUUACAAUCCCCGAUCUCUCUCUUCCUUCCAUCUACCAUUCUCCUCUCCGUAAAAACCCAAUAUAAGAUAAUCGUUGAAAGGUUAAUAUAUUAAUUAAAAUAUUAGUUUAGAUAUAUAUUAAUUUUUCAAUUAUUAUUUAUAUUUAUAUUUUAUAUCAAAUAUAGUAUUAUUUUUAUUAAAAAAUAGAAUAUGUCAUAAUUUUUUUUCCUUGUACUGCUAAAUUACUACCGUCGUUGUUUUAUAGUGAUUGUUUUAAGAUAUUUACAAAUACCUUAAAAAUUGUUAAACUUUGACAAAAUUAUUAUUUUUUUGCUAUGUAAGUUUCUUGUGAUAUAUUCACCUUUUUAUUUAUGUAAAAAAAAUCUAUAUAAAGUAAUAAUUAAUAAUAUCUUUUUUCUAUUUUUAAAACAACAAUUAAAAAUAAUUUUAAAAAUAUUUAAUUUAGAAUAAAUAUUUUAAAAUAAAUUUUUAAUAAAAUAUGUCAAUUUAUAAUUUUUGUUAUUUAUAUUUCAUUUUUGUAAGUAACAAAUCCGUACACAAAAAAUCAGAUAAAAAUAUUGAAAAGAAAAAUAUAAAUUUUGAUGGACAUUAAACUUUUCUUUUUACAAAUGUAUCGAAUGAAAUAAGAGCAUAAAAUCAUAGUCUUAAGAUAAUUCCUAAACGUGUAAAAAAUCUGAAGUGAUUUGGUUGUCAUAUACAAAUUAAAUAAAGAAAGAAGAUGAUAAAAAGAAAAAGAAAUUAAGAAUAGGAAGGAUGAGACGUUAAGGCUAGGUAAUUAAUGUUCCUUAUUACGGCUUGCUUAGUAAUUAGUAGUGGGAGUAGACUAGUAGUAGUUAAUAAAAACGGCGAUGUUGGGUUUGGUGGUGCUUGCAAGACUGCAGUUGCAAUUUUGAGUUGAGUUGAAUUGAAUUGAAUUGAAUUUGCAGUUGUAUCCAUCGGAGAGGAGAGUACGAUGGAAUUGCAGCACCGUAACUCAUCAUCUCCACAAUGUUCCUCAAAUUCAAACUCCACCUCCUCAUCUUCCAUCACCACCAACCCUAACAACAGAAUCAACAACAACAACAACAACGAUCCUAUGCACUCUUGGUGGGAAUCGGUCUCCAAAGCACGUUCCCGCAUCCAUUCCCUCGCUUCCAUCCUCCCUAACCAUCACCAAACUCUCUCCUCCCUCGCUGACUCCGAACGUCCUGCUCUCUCCCUACUCUCCUCCCCUUCUGCCUACUCCGCCCUCUCUUCUUCCCUCUCCGGUUCCCACUCCGAUCCCCUCUGUCACUGGCUCUACGACACUUUCCUCUCCUCCGACCCUCACCUCCGCCUCGUUGUUCUCUCCUUCAUCCCUCUCCUCUCCGGUCUUUACCUAUCCCGUGUUCACUCCUCGGAUCCCCCUUCCCUCGCCGGUUUCGAAGCUGUUCUCCUCGCUCUCUAUGCCUCCGAAACCAAAUCGCGCGCUGGUAAACCUCUUCUUGUUACAAUCCCCGAUCUCUCUCUUCCUUCCAUCUACCAUUCUCCUCUCCGUAAAAACCCUAACAAUAACCCUAACCCCUCCGUCGGUGUUAUUUCCCCCCCUCUUGAACCUCACAUCGCUGUUAAAUCCACAAAACGUG